GGGAGGACUGUGGGCACGGAAGGGGCCCUGGAGUCCAUGCUGCUCCCGCCCAGGCCAGCCUGGCUCGGGGGUCCGCGAUGUCGGGGUCCUGGUGAUACCGGGGUUCUUGUUUGCGGAGUCGAAGAAUGAACUUAGCAAACAGUCAAGUCCACAGCUUCCUGACCUUGGCUUCUUGGCGUGAACCACAGUGCCUCAGCUCCUGACCCAGGGGAGAAGAGCCAGGCCCGCACAAUGGCAUCUGCAUGCACGUUUCCUGGAGAAGUGAUUGGUUGGUUAUGAGGAGAAUUCAUGGGAGGAGAAAGAGUUGAAAGGAAACACUGGUUUUGGAGAGGUAAAGUGGUUCAUUCAGUCACAGCUGCUGAAUGGCCCAGGUGGAGAUGGAAUCCAAGGCUGCGGAACUCCAGAGCCACUCUUCCUAUUACUCUGCCUGUCAAGAGUCACUUUGUUCUUCAGAGAUUACUUUCUUUCAGUGUUCAGACGGAGAUGGGAUGCACUCAGGGUUGUAUGCUGUAAAUAAUCCAUGGCACAGGUGUUUCACUAAAGCAGUACCUGUGCAUGUACAUUUCUUCUGAGGGAGGGUAGAAAAACCGUUCCUGUCAAUAAAACACUACAGGCAGGUGGGACUGUCCUGGCCUGUGCUGAUUAACUAGUGCCUUGUUCAUGUUGGCAGCUGUUGAUAAGGGAUGUUUCAUGCAUCAGUUACAACACCAGUAUAUGAAUCAUCCCAUUACAUGAACACACACACUGUUCUUUCCAUUUUACAAUUCCCUAAAGGACCCUUAGGUCUGAUGAAAAUUUCUAAAAGAAAAUAA